rnacentral:rRNA from 1 species
UACGGAGGGGGCUAGCGUUAAUCGGAAUUACUGGGCGUAAAGCGUGCGCAGGCGGUUUUGUAAGUCUGACGUGAAAUCCCCGGGCUCAACCUGGGAAUUGCGUUGGAGACUGCAAGGCUGGAAUCUGGCAGAGGGGGGUAGAAUUCCACGUGUAGCAGUGAAAUGCGUAGAGAUGUGGAGGAACACCGAUGGCGAAGGCAGCCCCCUGGGUCAAGAUUGACGCUCAUGCACGAAAGCGUGGGGAGCAAACAGG